rnacentral:rRNA from 1 species
UACGUAGGGGGCAAGCGUUGUCCGGAAUUAUUGGGCGUAAAGCGCGUGUAGGCGGUCCGGUAAGUCGGCUGUGAAAGUCCAGGGCUCAACCCUGGGAUGCCGGUCGAUACUGCCGGACUAGAGUUCGGAAGAGGCGAGUGGAAUUCCCCGGUGUAGCGGUGAAAUGCGCAGAUAUCGGGAGGAACACCAAUGGCGAAGGCAGCUCGCUGGGACGUUACUGACGCUGAGACCGCGAAAGCGUGGGGAGCAAACAGG